GAGCCUCCGCCAGGCUUCGGGACCGAGGCGCUGGGGAGCUGCACCGCGGCGGUAUGGGCCCCUGCGCAGCUUCCUCAGCUCACCCUUCAGGUCACUUCUUCAGAAAUGACUUCCCAGCCAUCCAUCUAAAGGAGCUUUCAAAACCCCAACAGCAGCCGUACUCUGCCAGUCAAACCCCUGACCUACAUGAUCAGCAUGAGCUCUUGUCCUGUCUUCAAAGAGGACUUCCCGGGGUUCACUGGUCCGAGGUGACAGUAAAGGAAUGAAUGUUUAGCAACAAAAGAAAAUGAAUCAGUAAAUGAACACCAUCAACACAUUUCUGGAAGAUGAAAGAUGAUUAAAGUGAUUAAAGGUGUUUCUGGACUAACGAAAGUGAGGCGAGAAAGCCACAGGCCUGGACUCAACCAGAAGGGAACGGCCGCUCAAAGGUUAGUAAAAUGAGGAUAAUGGACAGAAAAGAAGUACAGCUGAAAAAAGAGCAAGUAAAGUGAAAUUCUGCAAAUAAACCUGUCACCUGCCACUCCAGUGGCAGAAAUGUGGUCAGGUAUUUAAACUCAUACAGAGGGCAAUGUAGGUGACCCACCAGCAUAUCUCUCACCUUAAUUUCUUUGAAAGAACUCUAGUUUUUAUUAGGUCUCUGUCCCUACCCUCAUUCACAAGCUCCAGAGAUGGAUCCUGAUGAGUUCUGGCAAACUAUGUUAAGUUCAUUCCCCUUGCCAGUGAACGAUAUAGUUAUGAAUAAGCACAAAUCGAUUCUGGCUAGCAAUCAAUAUGAGAGGAAAUCUGCUAAGACUUCUGGGAAGCUCCCUGGCUCCUAAGAAAGUCGUAAAAGAAAACACUCUUUUCUUUCUUUAGCUCUAACCAGAUCCAGACGUAUACCUAGAACUGCUAUCGCCAUCCAGCAGCAACCAUAGAGGAAGCCACUGUAAACAGAGGGCCUAGGUAGGGAGAACGACAGAGGAGAGUAAACGAAAAGACCUUGUUCCUCGCUGACAACACUGAACCACUGACUAUAAGCUGCCUAGAGUCAACCUCUCUGAACUUCCUGAAACACAAGACAACAUUUUAUUUUAUGAACCAGUUUGAAUCAAUUUUGUUGCUUGUAACCAAAACCAUUCUGAUAAACUUUCAGCCAAAAAAUCCUGCAUGUUCUUCUCUAAACACAUCGAACUUACUAUAUAAACUCACACAAUCUUCUGGCAUUUGGACAUAUCCUUUAAUGUCCACUUCUAUGUCUGUUAACUCUAAAGUGAAACCUACCUAUUGACAAGCCUUACUGAAAUACAAAAAGAAUGCCCAGUAAGCCCAAUGCUUUAUUUCUAAAUAGAAACAAGUCAACUAAGAAUCACCAGAGACGUGAAGACAGUCUAUAGCAGCCUGAAAAACACCAAAAUAAACAACACUGAAAUUUAAGAAUUUUGUCAGAAAACAAAUGUCAAGUAAAUGCCCCAAAAUCGAAAGCAGAAAGAUAAUAAGAAAUAUGAGGAUAAUCAAACUGGGAGAUCUAUUAUUCAACCAACAGCAGUUUCCAAAACCAAUGGUUUUGGUUACAAGCAACAACAGAAACAAAUAAUAGAGAAAUGAAGAGAUUACUGAAGCAACUAAACAAGAAAAAUUUCCAGAAAUGAAAGAAGACAUGAAUUUUUAACUUUAAGGAACCCACCAAACAACAAAAAGGAUUAAAACAUAAGAAUAGGAAUUAAAAACCCCAGCACAGAUGUGUCAUUGUGAAACUAAGCUCCCAGAGAGGAAAAGAAAAUAGGUUACUUACAAAAGAACAAUGACACUGGCAUUAAGAUUUCUCAUAAACAAUAUUAGAUACCAGAAGACAUUGGGGCAAAUGUUAAAAAAUCCUAAGGAAAAUACACCUUGUAGACUCCAGCUAAACUACAGAUCAUAUUUAACAAUAGAAAAAGAAAUUUUCAGACAUUAUGAUCACUCAAUACCUUCCUUUUCUUAGACUGUAAUGAGUAUGUGAUCAAGCAGAAAAAUAAACCCAGAAAGGAGACAACCGUAAGUUAAGGUAGAAAAGCAUUAAAUGGGAACUACUAGGUAGAUAACUGUGAAAUAAGCUUUUCACACUGAGGUAAAAAAACACAGAGCUCCAAAACAUUUCCAGGUAAAAAGGGAUGUGUUAGACCAGAUAGUAUGGUUGAAAUUCUGGAUUCUUGAGCGUAUGAUAAAAGCAAAGAAUGCAACGUAACUAAUAAUAUUCUCCCUCAAGCUAUUAAAAAAAAAAAAAAAAAGCCAAAAAGAAGCACUAGCCAAAGCCAUGCAUAAAGUCAGUGUGAUUUUAGAAAAAAGUCUUUGUGACCCCCUUGGACUAUAGCCCCACCAGGCUCUGCUGUUCAUGGAAUUCUCCAGGCAAGAAUACUGGAGUGGGCUGUCAUUCCCUUCUCCAGGAGAUCUUCCCAAUCCAGGGAUUACAGGUCUCCUGCUUUGCAAGCAGAUUCUUUACCGUCUGAGCUACCGGGGAAGCCCAAUCUUAAACAAUAGAAAGAAUAGAAGAUAUUAGAAAUAUGGUCAAGAAAAGUGUAUAGAAUCCCCUCAAAAAAGGCAAUCAGAAACAAUAAGAAAAACAGAACAAUUCAAAAAUAACCAGCAAGAUCCAAAUAUGAACCAAACUAAAAUGUGGCAUGAUUUUCAGUAUCUAGGUGAAAUAUAUAGAAAAGAUCCUUUUGUUUAUUAUUCCUUUGAGUGACAACAAACCACUCGAACCUUAGAAUAAAUGAAUUUUAGCCUCCAGUAAACUUACUACCCAUAUUAUUUCAAAUGCCAUUUACUGACUUUCAAAUUUUAGAAUACUCCUCUUGACAAAGCAUAUAGAGCCUAAUUACAGUUUUAAAACAGAACAUGAAUUAAUCUCAACAAUGUAUAAGCACAGCUGACAAAAAGUACAAGGGGGAGGAAAAGGCUAGAGUACGACUCAUUUAACUAUCUGGAAAUCCCCAAAGGGACGAAUCCCUACCCAGUAUACCAUGAAAACAGAAAACAUUUUUGCCUCUGGUGAAAAAAAGGUAUUUGCAUUUGGAGGAAAAGGUGGCCAGGAUUUUUUUUUAAUUAUAAACCCCCUAUACUGUUUGAUGUUUUAAAACCCUGUGCAUAUAUUUCUUUAACUCUAGAGUUCAUAAAUUUAAAGAUCAUCUUCAUUUGCAGUGCCCUUGAUAACUAAACAGCUUCUACAUUGAUUUCAUCAUUUUCAGCAACAGGACAUUCUCAAUAACACAUAAAGAUGAUAUUACUGUUUAAGUUCUGAUUUACUCAUUCUAAUUCAAAGUGCUUUUGAUGCCUCUCUUAAGAAUAUAUAAUCCCAAUAAAAAUUAAGUUGGAUAGUACCUCAGAUUAGUGGAGAAAUAAUAAACUGUUAAAUAAACAAUGUGGGUACAACUGUCUAAUUACUUGGAAAGAAUGUUAAACAGAAUCUCUCCCUCUAUACUGAAAUCAACACCAGGUUAAGUACAUAAUACUGAAAUCACAUAUGUAACUAGGAGAAAAUGUAUUUUGUAACACUAAAUGAGAGAAGGCCUUUCUAAAUUUGCCACUAAGAAAGAAAUCUCAGAGGAAAAGAUAAAUCUGACAAUAUAUGAAUAAAACUUUCUGUGAGUAAAGAGGAAAGAAACAACAUCCCAAUGGAAAUAAAAGUAAAGAAAAUUAAAAGGGAACCACAGAAGAAGAAAUUCAAAACCCUCAAAAAAGGCAAAUUAAAAUAACAUAUUUUUGUCUCAGAUGAAAAAAGAGAAUGUCAGUGGAGGGUACAGGGGAAAGGGUACUAACUUACUAUGUGGAUGGAAAUACAAAUUGGUACAUUUCUGGAAGUCAUUUAGAAAUCUGUAUCUACUUUGAGCCUUUAGCAAUUUCUACUAAGAAAAUAAACAUGCAUAUACACAAAAAAUAUCUACCUACCUACCUACAUAUCAACCAACCAGCCAGUCAACCCACUAGCCAGCCACAAUGAUGUACCAUACACGUUUAGUAACUGGCUUUAGUGGGGGAGAUGGCUGAUUUGUAUUAGGUUGGUGCAAAAGUAAUUGUAGUUUUCAUUGUUGAAAUUUGCCAUUUAAUAUUGAAUACAUUCUUAAAUAAAUGUGAUUAUGUUAUACAUCAUUUUAAUGUGCAUUUCUUGCUUUAUGUUUUGCUAAUGACUUAUUGUUUGCUGUUUACUUUGUAUUU